rnacentral:lncRNA from 1 species
ACACCAAAAUCUCACUCUGACUAUGUUGUGAGAUUGACUAUAUCUAAUCCAUGAACUCGGAAAUAGAAACAAGUUUCCGCUCUUGUAAUACGCGACGACAGGUACUGUAAGCACAGAGUGACUUUGCUGCCAUGAUCUAUUGACAGUAAUCUUGCUACCAUGAUUCAUUGAGAUUCUAAGCAAUAGUAAUGAUCCAUUGAGAUUCUCUAAUCUAUUGAGAUUCUAAGUGACAGAGAUACCUUGCUACCACCACAAUAUAGCAAUUCAGCUUGUCUUACUGUCACGAUCCAUUCAAAUUCUAAAUGUUAGAGUGAACUUGCUACCACGACCCAUUAAGAUUCAUACCAUUUAAGGAAAAAAAGUUCUGUUAUUCUUGUGGAAUAGGUAAAAUAGGUAUACAAACCAGUUUACCUACCAAAGCAAGGAGACAGGCUAGCUUGGUGCAAAAACUGCUGAAUUUGAGAGUUG